AUGGCGGACGUCAAGAUCGGGCGCCGCAGGCACCGGAAGAUGGUCACGGCGGCGAACCCGCCUGAGGUGCUCAACCUCCCGCCGGGCUUCGACGAUCUUACGGCGGAGGAGUACCGUAUCCUCACCGACAUGGAGAUCGACAACUCUACUGAGAAGCCAAGUGAGAGGGCAGUCCCCGCGAGAGCUCCUGGUCACCUGCUCCUCUGCUCCCCUCAUCUCCCUUCGUCACAGCACAUGCAUCUCCUCGUGACAGAUUCGGGGAGAAGACAAUUUUCAUCUACCCAAAGUCCCUCCAUACAAGGAAUGAGAAAGCCAACAUUCGCAACUGGCAGCUCAAUAAUGCCCUCAAUGCACUUGGUGACACGAGAUCGGAGAUCCUUUUCCUCCUGGACGUUCAGCACAAGACCAAACAGACCAUGA
rnacentral:rRNA from 1 species